rnacentral:lncRNA from 1 species
UACAUUGUUCUUUCUUGUGUUUUUUCUUAACUGAUAAGUUAUUGAACCUCGUAUUUUCAUUCCCAUUUAUCUGUGAUUUGCACAUGUUUUCACUUUUGGAGGUUGCAGUUAAUUUUUUUACGGGUUGGUCUUCUAUGCAAUUCUUAAUGCUUAUUUCAAUUUUUAGGUCUAUUUAAUCUUCGACUUUAUUAUGUUGGUAUUUUGAACAUGCCUAAAACUAAUUUGAGUUAACUACGUUCUUUUCAAUAUUAUCUAGCCUAUGUGUUGCAACUUACUGAUGUUUAGGACUUUUGCAUCUCUUUGUUAUUUAAUUUUGUUAUCAAUCAUGUUACUUGAACUUGCUUUACUUACAUGAUUCAUAUCCCUUUAAUAGAUUAGCUGAUUGUGUUCAAAAGAAUGAAUGUAUAUGUUAUCUAUAUAGCCUAACUCUGUUUUCGGUCCUAUUUUGAAUUUGUUGUGAUGAUAUCC